GAUGAACGCUGGCGGCGUGCCUAAUACAUGCAAGUCGAGCGAACAGACGAGGAGCUUGCUCCUCUGACGUUAGCGGCGGACGGGUGAGUAACACGUGGAUAACCUACCUAUAAGACUGGGAUAACUUCGGGAAACCGGAUCUAAUACCGGAUAAUAUAUUGAACCGCAUGGUUCAAUAGUGAAAGACGGUUUUGCUGUCACUUAUAGAUGGAUCCGCGCCGCAUUAGCUAGUUGGUAAGGUAACGGCUUACCAAGGCAACGAUGCGUAGCCGACCUGAGAGGGUGAUAGGCCACACUGGAACUGAGACACGGUCCAGACUCCUACGGGAGGCAGCAGUAGGGAAUCUUCCGCAAUGGGCGAAAGCCUGACGGAGCAACGCCGCGUGAGUGAUGAAGGUCUUCGGAUCGUAAAACUCUGUUAUUAGGGAAGAACAAAUGUGUAAGUAACUAUGCACGUCUUGACGGUACCUAAUCAGAAAGCCACGGCUAACUACGUG
rnacentral:rRNA from 1 species